GGAGUUAGCCGGUGCUUCUUCUGUGAGUGAUGUCCUUCCUGCCGGUUAUUGACCCGCAGGCCUUCUUCCUCACUGAAAGUGCUUUACAACCCGAAGGCCUUCUUCACACACGCGGCAUGGCUGGAUCAGGGUUGCCCCCAUUGUCCAAUAUUCCCCACUGCUGCCUCCCGUAGGAGUCUGGGCCGUGUCUCAGUCCCAGUGUGGCUGAUCAUCCUCUCAGACCAGCUACGGAUCGUCGCCUUGGUGAGCCGUUACCUCACCAACCAGCUAAUCCGACAUAGGCUCAUCCGAUAGCGCGAGGCCCGAAGGUCCCCCGCUUUCCCCCGUAGGGCCGUAUUCGGUAUUAGCCUGGGUUUCCCCAGGUUAUCCCCCACUACCGGGCAGAUUCCUAUGCAUUACUCACCCGUCCGCCGCUCGCCACCAGGGAGCAAGCUCCCCGUGCUGCCGCUCGACUUGCAUGUGUUAGGCCUGCCGCCAGCGUUCAAUCUGAGCCAGGAUCAAACUCUGA
rnacentral:rRNA from 1 species